UCGGGAAUUUUGGGCAAUGGGCGAAAGCCUGACCCAGCAACGCCGCGUGAAGGAUGAAGUAUUUCGGUAUGUAAACUUCGUAAGAAUAGGAAGAAUAAAUGACGGUACUAUUUGUAAGGUCCGGCUAACUACGUGCCAGCAGCCGCGGUAAUACGUAGGGACCAAGCGUUGUUCGGAUUUACUGGGCGUAAAGGGCGCGUAGGCGGCGUGUCAAGUCAGUUGUGAAAUCUCCGAGCUUAACUCGGAACGGUCAACUGAUACUGUCACACUAGAGUACAGAAGGGGCAAUCGGAAUUCUUGGUGUAGCGGUGAAAUGCGUAGAUAUCAAGAGGAACACCUGAGGCGAAGGCGGGUUGCUGGGCUGAUACUGACGCUGAGGCGCGAAAGCUAGGGUAGCAAACGGGGAUUAGAUACCCACGUAGUCCCUGAGCGGGCUGGCAAGGCGCAU
rnacentral:rRNA from 1 species